AACUCCAGCCCCAGCAUUCCCAGGUGUCCCCAUUUGGUGAUCAGGACUGAACACAGAGACUCACCAUGGAGUCUCGGCUGAUCUGGGUUUUCCUCCUUGCACUGUUACAAGGUGUCCAGUGUGAGGUGCAGCUGCUGGAGUCUGGGGGAGGCUUGGUACAGCCUGGGGGGUCCCUGAGACUCUCCUGUGCAGCCUCUGGAUUCACCUUCAGUGGUUCCUGGAUGCACUGGGUCCGCCAGGCUCCAGGGAAGGGGCUGGAGUGGGUCUCAUACAUUAAUGGUGAUGGUGGUAGCACAAACUACGCAGACGCUGUCAAGGGCCGAUUCACCAUCUCCAGAGACAACAGCAAGAACUCGCUGUAUCUACAAAUGAACAGUCUGAAAGCCGAGGACACAGCCAUGUACUACUGUGCCAGAGACACAACGAGGGGACCUCAGUGUGAUCCCAGACACAAACCUCCUGUGGGGACGUGCAGGGCCACCAGGGUGGAGUGUGGGACCCUGGAAGCCUAAAAAAAAGCCGAGA